AUGCAUGCAUACAUACUAAAUGUGGAAUGAUUUAGAGAAGAUUAGCAUGGCCCUGUGCAACAGUGAUGCAAAAAUUCACGAAGCAUUACAUAUUUUU
ensembl:snRNA U6 U6 spliceosomal RNA